rnacentral:rRNA from 1 species
GACGGAGGAUGCAAGCGUUAUCCGGAAUGAUUGGGCGUAAAGCGUCCGCAGGUGGCAGUUCAAGUCUGCUGUCAAAGACCGGGGCUUAACUUCGGAAAGGCAGUGGAAACUGAACAGCUAGAGUAUGGUAGGGGCAGAGGGAAUUCCUGGUGUAGCGGUGAAAUGCGCAGAUAUCAGGAGGAACACCGGUGGCGAAGGCGGGUCUCUGGGCAGUAACUGACGCUGAGGAGCGAAAGCGUGGGGAGCGAACAGG